GCCCGGGUGGUGGAACGGUAGACACGCCGGCCUCAGGUGCCGGUGGCCGAAAGGCCGUGGGGGUUCGAAUCCCUUCCCGGGCA
rnacentral:tRNA from 1 species